rnacentral:rRNA from 1 species
GUGUCAGCAGCCGCGGUAAUACGGAGGGUGCGAGCGUUAAUCGGAAUUACUGGGCGUAAAGGGCACGCAGGCGGUUAAUUAAGUUGGAUGUGAAAUCCCCGGGCUUAACCUGGGAAUGGCAUUCAAGACUGGUUAGCUAGAGUCUUGUAGAGGGGGGUAGAAUUCCAUGUGUAGCGGUGAAAUGCGUAGAGAUGUGGAGGAAUACCGGUGGCGAAGGCGGCCCCCUGGACAGAGACUGACGCUCAUGUGCGAAAGCGUGGGGAGCAAACAGGAUUAGAUACCCUGGUAGUCCACGCUGUAAACGAUGUCGAUUUGGAGGUUGUGGUCAUGAACUGUGGCCUCCGGAGCUAACGCGUUAAAUCGACCGCCUGGGGAGUACGGCCGCAAGGUUAAAACUUAAAUGAAUUGACGG